ensembl:snoRNA U3 Small nucleolar RNA U3
AAGACAAUACUUGUGGACUCAUUUCUGUAGUUCAUUACCAGAGAAAUUUCUAAGAGCCUGAAGAGUUAAGCAAGAGGUGGCACAGCCUUCUCCCCAGAGCAUGAAGCUGGCCAUGGUGUUGCUUAGCAGCAACUGCCAUUUCUAUUGAUGACCAUUGUCCUUUAGAGGGACUCAGGGGAGGAUGGCAUCUGGA